CCUACGGGAGGCAGCAGGGGGGAAUAUUGGACAAUGGGCGAAAGCCUGAUCCAGCCAUGCCGCGUGUGUGAAGAAGGUCUUCGGAUUGUAAAGCACUUUAAGUUGGGAGGAAGGGCAUUUACCUAAUACGUGAGUGUCUUGACGUUACCGACAGAAUAAGCACCGGCUAACUCUGUGCCAGCAGCCGCGGUAAU
rnacentral:rRNA from 1 species